CUCUCAGUUACGAGAGGGCCAUCUCUUCCUUUCUAUCUGGGCUGGCUGAGAGGACUGGAGGGCCAGGUGGCUCACGGCUCCAGUGACAGGAAACUGUCAGUCCACGCGGGGACAACUGUGAACAGGGUCAAAGAGUUAUAAGUGUCAAAACUCUCGGGCAAGAUCUAUCAGUGACGCCAUGACCACAUGCCUCUAUUGAAAUUUCUCUUUGCAAGUAAAGAGGAAUCUGCUUAGGAUGAUCAUGGAACUUGAACAAGCUUCAGUGCUCAUUUAGUCAACUCCCUUCGUAUUCCAGAAAAGGAAAGAGAAGAAUAAAGGGUGUGACUUGCUUGAAGUCAUGUGAUGAAAAUCAAGAUGUGGCCACCAUUGUGGAGAACUCAGGUCAUCAGCUCCUGCUCACUCUCACCAGCCACUGCUGGUGGCUUCAUAGUUUGGAACAAUGCACAAUGGGCUGAAGUCCCAGGGAACUCAGCUGGGAGUAGGAAUAUCACCAAAGAGGAGGAAAAUGUACCUAUCUAAGUGCGAUGCUAAUUGAUAACUUAAAAAGGGACUUACCUCUUCUACAUGUAUGCAGUCUAAAGCCAGAAUCCACAUGACUCCGUUUAUAUGAAGCCUGAGAACAGGCAGAAAUAAUCUAUGGUAAUAAGAACAGUGGUUACCUUUGGAGGAGUGUUGAUGAGGAAGAGGCACAGGGAGACUUCUAAAGUACUGGAAUUUAUUUAAUCUUGGUGGUAGUUAUAUGGGUGUAUACAUAUGUAAAAAUUCAUUAAGCUGCCACUUAAGAUUUGUACAUUUUAUUGUAUGUAUGUUAUACUUCAAUAAAAAUGAAAAAAGGAAAACAUAAAACAAGAAAAUGAUUGUAUGGACAUCAACAGCUCCAUAAGUUAAAUAUAUUUUGUUAAUUCCACACACAGUCAAAUUAGAUUUGUACCCCAAUCCCAUAUAUGACGUUGAGAAAUGUUUAAAAACCUUUUGUAUUUUUCCCCUCCAUUCUUUGUUUAUAUCAAGGCAAUAGGAAGCUAAUGUGUUUCCCCUUCCAGGAGUAUUUUUAUGUUCAAAGGAAAACCAUUGGGAGAAAGUAAUAAUUAACACAAAGGAAUGACUGGCUUAAUGGUGGGCUUUCAGGCAUCAGUAGAGGAGGUAUUUCAGGUCAAGGGAGGGUCAAGAGAAUCUCCCAGAGAAUUCCACACUGAAAGGGUAGAAAUGAACAAUAAAUUCCUAAUAGACAUUUCUGCUAAUUCACUGGUGUGGCCAACAGCCUUUGGUGUUCCGAUCCUUGGAUGGAAAAAUCAGCCUACUUGUUUUCAACUGAUAAGAGAAGUUUGCCUCCUGGGGAUGGUCGUUUCCUCAAAGCAGAGGGAAGGGAAAUUUCGUGGGCAGCUUUCCCUCCAUACUGAGAAGAGAACAGAAAGCAGGAAAUAGCAAGGCCAGGAGAGGGGAUGCAGAAGUGAGGGUGAGAAUGGAAAAGCACAGGAGAGAGUGGGUGUGGGCAGCACCUGUGGGGAACUGAUGGAAGAUCCAGCAGGGGGAAGGGGAGAGAAAGGGCGCCCAGCAGAAAGUCAAAUGAAAACAGAGACAGUUCAUGUGAAAGAGACCAGAAGCAAGGCACUUGGCACCUGCAGCCUGUGCGUCCC